CAGUUACCUUCAGUUCAGCUUCAACACAAACCAUGUUCCCUGCAUCUCUGCUGUUGGUGCUGGCAGCUGUAUCCUGUGUGUUCUGUCAGACUGAACUCACACAACCAGGCUCAAUGACCCUGCAGCCUGGACAGCCUCUGACCCUCUCGUGUAAAGUCUCUGGGUAUUCUUUAACCAGCAACAGCUACUGUACAGGUGUGAAUCGCCAACCUGCAGGAAAAGCACUGGAGUGGAUCGGAUUCAUUUGUCACGAUGGUAGCACAUAUUACAGUGAUAAACUGAAAAACAAGUUCAGUAUCUCCAGAGACAUGUCCAGCAGCACAAUGACUUUAACAGGACAGAGUCUGCAGACUGAAGACACAGCUGUGUAUUAUUGUGCUCGCUACCCACAAUGA